AUCAGGUCAAGAAAACAGCCCGGAGACGUGGAGGAGGAAGAAGUUUUACAAAGAACUGCGCGACUGUAUUCGACACCACCAGGAUGUCAUACAGUUGGUUGCAGACGUGGAAGAACUCCUUACAUCUAUGAUUCUGACUCAAGUUAUGGGCGCCACUCUUAUUAUCUGUGUGACGUUAUUUCAGUUCGCCACAAAUAUCGAUAACAUCGGAACAGUUCUACGGGUGUCUGUGUACAUGUCGUUCAUGAUAUACGAAGUGUUCAUGUAUUGCUGGUACGCGCACAAUAUCAUCGAUCAG